rnacentral:lncRNA from 1 species
UUUUUACUGGCUUGUAGGGAUUACUUGAUGUUCUCUAAACUCCAGCAGAAACUUCUUAGCACAGCCAUGGCUUCUGUGUCCUUGCAAUUAAUGGACUAAGCAAGUGCCAAAUUUGCAUAUACAUACAAGCAGGGACUUCAGAAUAGAGCAGUAGGACUAGAUCCACUAGAGGCAAGUGCAUGUUGCUGUGUCAAAUAAAAAUCCCAAUGAUAUACAACCUAAAGCUGUAAUUACAGGGCAGCUCUGAAAAUUGAAGCACAGACUGAAAAUGCAGCAGCUUGGUACACUGAUUUGCUCUUCUCGGUUUUCUUCCCUCCCUCCCGUUUCGGAGGUGUGGUGUGUCUAUGAGUGCUGAAUGAGAGCAGGGGUGGCUUGUCCCCAGAGCUGCUGAGCUGUCUGGAUCCCAGCAAGUUCCUGUGACUACUGUACCACCUAAACUGUUUGGGGAUUAAAAUAGUGCAAUGGAUGGUAGAAGAUUAGGCACUUGAAGAGCUGCUUGUACCCGGUUAAGUAUUUGAGGUGCGUGCUGGAGAAGAUGCAGAAGCUGGCACUUGCUGCAGGGGGUCUAUAAAAUGCCACUGGCUUCUAGGAGAUGGAGGAGGUGUAUACAGAAGGUCUGAAAGGUGGAAACAGGGAAUUAUGGGAGUAUCAGUGAUGGGUUUCCUCUCUUUGAAGCAAACAACUUGUGAUUGCCAACUAUGUAGUCAGGCGAAUAGAAGCUGACACAAGUAUAUACCACAAAGCUUGUCAGGGAUAUGGGCUCAGGCCAUAGUUGGGAAAUCACUAAAGCUUGACCUUAGAGACACCUCCAACUCUAUU